AGGAGGAUGCGGAGGCCUGGACGGGGGGCCUCAGUUUCCCCGCGGGGGGCCCCUGUGACCUAAGUCAGCUGAUGACCAAGAGCCCAGACCGGCGCUGGAGGAGGCGGUGUGGACCCUGAGGAAGGACCGUGGUGGCCGCCUUGAGGAGGGGCGCCUCUCACGUCCUCUCCCUCUCUGACCCCUGCAGUGAGGUCAGGCCCCGGCGGGGAUUCCUGAAAAGAAAGCCGAGAUGGAAGACAAUGCUGGUCCUGUAAGAUGAACCAAAAAGACGGGGCAUCUGUCCCUGGUAGGAACUGCUUGUCAGCCCCCGUUCCCGGCAGGACCAGGGACUGGAUCAUCAGAUCGGACAUGUUCAGUCGCUCGUAUAAGUAGGCUCCACGCCUAGCACAGAGCUCCAGCACGGGACCCGAACUCAUGACCCUGAGAUCACGACCUGAGCCAAGAUCAAGAACCGGACACCCAACCAAGAGAGCCACCCAGCAACCCCCACCUUAACCCCCCUUUUUUUGUUUUGGAGACAGAUCAAGAGAGUGUGCUAGCUCACAUGUGCACGUGACCAGGGGAGAGGGGAAGAGAGAGAGAGAAAACUUAAACAGGCUCCAUGCCCAGUGUGGAGGCCAAUGUGCGGCUC